GAUGAACGCUAGCUACAGGCUUAACACAUGCAAGUCGAGGGGCAGCAUUAUCGAAGCUUGCUUUGAUAGAUGGCGACCGGCGCACGGGUGAGUAACGCGUAUCCAACCUUCCCCAUAGUCAGGAAUAGCCCGGCGAAAGUCGAAUUAAUGCCUGAUGUUUUCCACGGACGGCAUCUGAUGUGGAACAAAGAUUGAUCGCUAUGGGAUGGGGAUGCGUCUGAUUAGCUUGUUGGCGGGUAACGGCCCACCAAGGCAACGAUCAGUAGGGGUUCUGAGAGGAAGGUCCCCCCACAUUGGAACUGAGACACGGUCCAAAACUCCUACGGGGAGGCAGCAGUGAGGAAUAUUGGUCAAUGGGCGGAAGCCUGAACCAGCCAAGUAGCGUGAGGGAUGACUGCCCUAU
rnacentral:rRNA from 1 species